rnacentral:rRNA from 1 species
ACAUGCAAGUCGAACGGGAUCCUGGCUUCGGUCAGGUGAGAGUGGCGGACGGGUGAGUAACGCGUGGGAACCUGCCCAGUGGUGGGGGAUAACUGCGGGAAACUGCAGCUAAUACCGCAUGAGCCCGAGAGGGGAAAGAUUUAUCGCCAUUGGAGGGGCCCGCGUUCGAUUAGGUAGUUGGUGAGGUAACGGCUCACCAAGCCGACGAUCGAUAGCUGGUCUGAGAGGAUGAUCAGCCACACUGGGACUGAGAUACGGCCCAGACUCCUACGGGAGGCAGCAGUGGGGAAUAUUGGACAAUGGGGGCAACCCUGAUCCAGCAAUGCCGCGUGAGUGAUGAAGGCCUUCGGGUUGUAAAGCUCUUUUGCCAGGGACGAUGAUGACGGUACCUGGAGAAUAAGCCC